GACGAACGCUGGCGGCGUGCUUAACACAUGCAAGUCGAACGGAAAGGCCCUGCUUUUGUGGGGUGCUCGAGUGGCGAACGGGUGAGUAACACGUGAGUAACCUGCCCUUGACUUUGGGAUAACUUCAGGAAACUGGGGCUAAUACCGGAUAGGAGCUCCUGCUGCAUGGUGGGGGUUGGAAAGUUUCGGCGGUUGGGGAUGGACUCGCGGCUUAUCAGCUUGUUGGUGGGGUAGUGGCUUACCAAGGCUUUGACGGGUAGCCGGCCUGCGAGGGUGACCGGCCACAUUGGGACUGAGAUACGGCCCAGAAUGCUACGGGAGGCAGCAGUGGGGAAUAUUGCACAAUGGGCGGAAGCCUGAUGCAGCAACGCCGCGUGCGGGAUGACGGCCUUCGGGUUGUAAACCGCUUUCGCCUGUGACGAAGCGUGAGUGACGGUAAUGGGUAAAGAAGCACCGGCUAACUACGUG
rnacentral:rRNA from 1 species